rnacentral:sRNA from 1 species
GGCAUGCAUGGCCCUGGCAGCCAACCGGGUCAUUACGUUACUAGUAUAUUCAAAUUUUGACGAAAGGAACCAGUCCGCUGGGUCUCCUUGAAUUUUCUUGAACAAGCCAAUGGAAGCAGGGUUACCGCCUCCCAUUUUGAAUCACCUAAACAAUUCCUGGUGCUUUUGAAGAGCUCUCCGCUGGAUCUGCUAUCUUGAAAGCGUUAAUCCCAUUCUUCUCCCGGACGGCUUUCUUGGCCACAAAGGCUUGGUUCUUGAUUGAUAACCAAAUUGACUCUUAGUUGCGGAAAAUGUUCAAAAAUUAUGAGGCUACUUGGACCACGCGGUGAACUUAUAUAACCUCCAUCCCUUUCCCUCUAACUAGAGGACUCGGACUUAUACUUAUUCUAUUGACUGGGUUGCUUGGAAUGCGAAGCAAGCAAGCAACGAGCAGCGUUAAUUUUUGUGCUAAGUUCCAUCGCGUCUCAGCGUUCAGCGAACUCCGUCCUCCUCUGAAGAAAUAUGUAGUACUUCUGACGAUGGUUCCAAAAUGAGAUAGGAUUUUCGUUACAACAAUUUACAUCUACUAUCCUCCAAAACAGCAGCCCAUUGCUUGCCCAGGUUAGGCAUGGAUUUUCCAUCUGUGCAGACAUACCUGAGAAGAGCUUUUGACUCGCAUAAACGAUGAGGGUUAUCAAAUAACACAAGUCUAGGAUUUUCAUAAAUUGCAUAUUGAAAGUACCCCCGAAGCUAUAAGGUCUGCGAUCAUGAGAGCUCCGACGUUGAGAUCGGAAAGGGCACGAUUGAGACACGGCCAUUAAGUUGGUGAAAAACGGGCUAUUUAUGCCAGAUGGCGGGCAAUAUCUGUGGGAUAGAGAGGAGUGCAGAUGGCAUGACUGUUGUUAGGUGGCAAUAUAUUCCCGGACGCCCUUUCGCCGGGGUUUGACUGGACAAAACGGUUGAGGAUGAAGAAUUUAACGGCCUGGGAGACUACGAAGAGGAAGAAGGGAGUGGAACAGAUGCUGAAUAGGAAUGCAUUAUAGGGUUGGGUGAAACCGAGAUGAGUGUAAAUUGAUGACUCGACGAAGAAGGUAAGGGACCGAUGGUGAAAAGUUGGGCCUUCCCGAAAAGCGAUUGAUUCGAAAGAAUUGCAGGAUUGCCAGCUGGCUCAUUGACGAAAUGCUGGUCAGCUAUUUCUAUUUCAACUGUUGGUCCUAUGGAGCUUCAUUCGUAACAAAAAUCCUCAGAGGAAAUGUUGGCAUGAUGCCCACCACCUGAUAAAGACCAGAGCCAACUAAUGGGGUCAAAUACACUGCGACAUGCAGUGAUGUUUGUAUCCUGCGAAAGUGCGGCCAUUUUAGUAGCACAG